GACGAACGCUGGCGGCGUGCCUAAUACAUGCAAGUCGAACGCUUCUUUCCUCCCGAGUGCUUGCACUCAAUUGGAAAGAGGAGUGGCGGACGGGUGAGUAACACGUGGGUAACCUACCCAUCAGAGGGGGAUAACACUUGGAAACAGGUGCUAAUACCGCAUAACAGUUUAUGCCGCAUGGCAUAAGAGUGAAGGGCGCUUUCGGGUGUCGCUGAUGGAUGGACCCGCGGUGCAUUAGCUAGUUGGUGAGGUAACGGCUCACCAAGGCCACGAUGCAUAGCCGACCUGAGAGGGUGAUCGGCCACACUGGGACUGAGACACGGCCCAGACUCCUACGGGAGGCAGCAGUAGGGAAUCUUCGGCAAUGGUCGAAAGUCUGACCGAGCAACGCCGCGUGAGUGAAGAAGGUUUUCGGAUCGUAAAACUCUGUUGUUAGAGAAGAACAAGGACGUUAGUAACUGAACGUCCCCUGACGGUAUCUAACCAGAAAGCCACGGCUAACUACGUG
rnacentral:rRNA from 1 species